rnacentral:rRNA from 1 species
AGUAGGGAAUAUUGGGCAAUGGACGGAAGUCUGACCCAGCCAUGCCGCGUGGACGAGGAAGGCCUUCGGGUCGUAAAGUCCUUUUGCAGGGGAAGAAAUGCCUGGAUGCGUCCGGGUUUGACGGUACCCUGCGAAUAAGCACCGGCUAACUCCGUGCCAGCAGCCGCGGUAAUACGGAGGGUGCAAGCGUUGUCCGGAUUUAUUGGGUUUAAAGGGUACGUAGGCGGUCUGGUAAGUCAGUGGUGAAAUCUUGCGGCUCAACCGUAAAAGUGCCAUUGAUACUGCCGGACUUGAGUGUCGGAGGGGUAGCCGGAAUUCCACAAGUAGCGGUGAAAUGCUUAGAUAUGUGGAGGAACGCCGACGGUGAAGACAGGCUACUGGCCGACAACUGACGCUGAGGUACGAAAGCGUGGGGAUCAAA